AAAAAAAAAAAAAAAAAAAUCAGUGUCAAAUAACAUUAAAAUUCACAUCCUAACAACAGAAACCGUAUUUCAAAACAAGAUCUAUGUUACUGUGUGUAUUUUAUUCUCUAUCACUGUCAACUCCACUAAAGGAAAUGAAAUAAGAUAAAAAAAAAAUAAAAGACUUUCCCAAAUCUCCAAUCCCUGAGAAACUGAAAUCAGAGUAGUCAAACAUAAUCUUCUGAACAUUGCUCAACAUAAUAAUAAAAAUUAAAAAAAACUAAAGAAACAAAAUAUCAUGUUAGGAACAUAGAACUCGUCAAGAAUUUGUUUGAAAUAUAUUAAAGAGUUUAAAAGAAGCCGACCCCAAAUUUUUUGGAUA
rnacentral:misc_RNA from 1 species